GACGAACGCUGGCGGCGUGCUUAACACAUGCAAGUCGAACGGAAAGGCCCUGCUUUUGUGGGGUGCUCGAGUGGCGAACGGGUGAGUAACACGUGAGUAACCUGCCCUUGACUUUGGGAUAACUUCAGGAAACUGGGGCUAAUACCGGAUAGGAGCUCCUGCUGCAUGGUGGGGGUUGGAAAGUUUCGGCGGUUGGGGAUGGACUCGCGGCUUAUCAGCUUGUUGGUGGGGUAGUGGCUUACCAAGGCUUUGACGGGUAGCCGGCCUGAGCGGGUGACCGGCCACAUUGGGACUGAGAUACGGCCCAGACUCCUACGGGAGGCAGCGGUGGGGAAUAUUGCACAGUGGGCGGAAGCCUGAUGCAGCAACGCCGCGUGCGGGAUGACGGCCUUCGGGUUGUAAACCGCUUUCGCCUGUGACGAAGCGUGAGUGACGGUAAUGGGUAAAGAAGCACCGGCUAACUACGUG
rnacentral:rRNA from 1 species